UGGGGAAUCUUGCACAAUGGGGGCAACCCUGAUGCAGCGACGCCGCGUGAGCGAUGAAGCCCUUCGGGGCGUAAAGCUCUUUCGACCGGAACGAUAAUGACGGUACCGGGAGAAGAAGCUGCGGCUAACUACGUGCCAGCAGUCGCGGUAAUACGUAGGCAGCAAGCGUUGUUCGGAGUUACUGGGCGUAAAGAGUGCGUAGGCGGUUUUCUAAGUUCGGUGUGAAAUCUCCCGGCUUAACUGGGAGGGUGCGCCGAAGACUGGGAAGCUGGAGUGUGGGAAAGGCAGGCGGAAUUCCUGGUGUAGCGGUGAAAUGCGUAGAUAUCAGGAGGAACACCGGCGGUGUAGACGGCUUGCUAGACCAUAACUGACGCUGAGGCACGAAAGCGUGGGUAGCAAACA
rnacentral:rRNA from 1 species